GAGGAAGGUGGGGAUGACGUCAAAUCAUCAUGCCCCUUAUGACUUGGGCUACACACGUGCUACAAUGGCGUAAACAAAGGGAAGCGAGACCGUGAGGUGGAGCAAAUCCCAAAAAUAACGUCUCAGUUCGGACUGUAGUCUGCAACCCGACUACACGAAGCUGGAAUCGCUAGUAAUCGCAGAUCAGAAUGCUGCGGUGAAUACGUUCCCGGGUCUUGUACACACCGCCCGUCGCACCAUGGGAGUUGGAAAUGCCCGAAGUCAGUGACCCAACCGCAAGGAGGGAGCUGCCGAAGGCAGGUUCGA
rnacentral:rRNA from 1 species